GCUCCGCGACCCGUACGCAAAUCGCCCGCGACGGGCUUUGGUGCGUUGGCCACUAUGACGGGAGAAGCCGACGCUGGUUGAAUUCUGGAGGUCUUUCUGUCUGUCCGUGCUUCGGAGGCGGGCAAUACCUGACCCUGUUGUUUCUCCCAACAGUAAUAAAUGUGGCAGUGGACGAGACCUCAGGGCUCUUUUGGAGACGUCUUUUUGGAAAUAACUUCUCUAGACUCACUCCCAAGGGAAACGCACAUGGGCCCCCAGCGCCCUCUGAAGUCUAUUCUAGAGACUUCCGAGGGUCCGGGACUCCAAGUUUAGAACCCCCAGCCCUAGACGUUGUCUGGCACUUUGCGGUAUUGGAUGGCGUGCUUUGUCCAGAUCGAGCCUGAUCCCGCACAUACGAGUGUGACCUGCAGAGACCCCCACAAUCUUGGUUGACUAACAAGGACUUUGACUGAAAUUAAAAACUUUGUCUUCUUUACCUGUAAGGUGUAUUGCUGUAGGAACAGUAAGGAACAGAGAAUUUUUAUUGUCCCCGUUUUACAGGUCUGCCAAUGAUGCCAACUAACUCUCAUGGACAUUCGAAAAUCCCACUGGCAACUCUUGGGGCUGAAGACUAUACUGAUCCUUGAAUGAUUACUCAAACUGGGAAGCAAUAUACAUGGCUCAUUUUCCCUCUUUCAUGGAACCUAAUACCCUUGGAAAAGAGAUUUCAAGGCCAGAAUGAGGGAUCACGGAGGCAGAGCCCACCAUCCUGUACCAUUACUGGUGUGUCUUCAUUUGGAACGGGACUCCCAGGGAAGGCUGUACCGAACUACAAAGCAGAUGCUGGAAUGGAUUUGAGGAUCUUGCCAGAGAUGAGUGGUGCUAGCUCAAAUACACGUCAGGCUAGAGUUUGGAUUACUCUAGUUUUAUCUAGCACUUAAGCUAAUUUAGAAAUGGGUACUUAAACUAACAUUCCCUUAGUUUACAUCUAUUAGCAUCCAGCUCUCACAUCCUUAGAUUGGUCUUUUAGAGCUUUAACUAGUGACCUGCAUUGCUUCAUUCCCUUUCCAUGAGAGCAGGUUUAUUGUCUACUAAUAAUUUUGAGUGACAGGUAAGGCUUUGGAAGAGGAUGAGAACUUAUUCCUGAUAGCCUAUUGCUUAAAAUGAGCCAUGUUUAAUACAUAAGUGUUACUACCCUGAUAUACAUUUAACACCGAAAGGGAUCAUAGCACAGUUCAUUUACCAAAACCAAGUUUUCCUGCUAGUUGACCACGUGGUCCUGAAAAAAAAUGUGAACAAUUCCUUACUGCCGUGUGAAACCAUUUCUUGCUUAAGAAUUAAGCUGCCUUUUAAAAUCUUCACAGCAGUAGUUGUCAGCUUGUAGUGGUUUUGCCAAGGGGAUAUUUUGCAAUGUCUAGAAAGAUUGUCACUUCUCAAGGAUGCUCCUGGCAUCUAGUGGGUAGAGGUCGGGGAUUGCUUCUAAACAUCCUGCAAUGCACACACAGCUUCACACACACAGAAUUUUCCCACCCAAAGCAUCAAUAGUGCUGUAGCAGCCUAACCCUGCCUGGCCAUUUCCUGCUCACACAAGCUCGUUUGUGACUGCCCUCCCCACCUCAAAGACUCUCCAGCUAAUAUCAGUUUUUUCAUAGCUUGCGAACCAAUUAAUGUUCUUCUCUAUAUCUGUAGCUGUGUAGGGAUAACAAGACUGUAUAAAACUGCCUGUUAUGUUACAAUCGGGGCUUAGCCUUUGGAUAAGAAUCCACUGAGCUGGUGCCGGCAUCAAUAAACACUACUUCCUGCUUAUAGCCUCGGAGUUCCGUCUCUCCAUUGGAGAAUCCUGCAACAUUUUGGGGGAUCUGGAGAUGGCAGUUUUUCACCUCCCUUGUCUUCAGGGUCUGGCCCCCAGGACACAGGGAGACACAGACUCCGCUUGGCCCCUUGCCUGUAAAAGGAGAAACAUCUCUUCCAGUGACCUUGGGUGGCCGCCCCUGAAGCACAAUGGAACCUGGAGAGGUGCAGGAAUCAGCCCAGGAGCACCACUUGACUGAAUGUUAAGGACCCAGGUCCCAGAAACAGCCUGUUCGCUGGAGGACAGAAAGGGAGUCUGAUCAAUUCCCGAGGUCACCCAAGUACUCUACAUGUGUUAGAGGAAACCAGGACC